ensembl:lncRNA
GAAAGGGAGAGAGAGAGAGAGAGAGAGAGAGAGAGAGAGAGAGAGAGAGAGAGAGAGACUGGGGCAGAGAAAAAGGGAUAGAUGGGAAAACGGCAGACCAGGGCUGUAUUUAUUGGGGGUGUGAGUGCUGCGCUGUAGGCUGUGGGAUGGUUGGGAGAGUGCAAGGUGUUACUGUUAGGUGUGGUUGGGUUUACAGAAAGGGAAGAGCAUGCAUAGAUAGGAUGGUGGUGGAAAAAAAAGAGGGAGAGAUGGAAGGAUUGGUCAUGCGCAAGUUUGAACUGGAUGUGCGGCUUUCUGUAGAAGACGCUGCCUUCAGACUGAAAUCCAUUCAAAAGCAAUUUACACAGACCGCAGGCCGUUGGAGGCAGCUUAGAAAUCUCUUACAUCUGGAAGAGCCAUAAUUCAUGGGAUUUGGCCUAACAGCCAUGACAGGCAUUGGGGCGGCCAGCAACAACUGUCUCCUGUGUUAGCAGUGUGUGUGUGUGUGUGAACUCCGUGUGUGAGAGGGAGACGCAGAGUGAGAGACAAAGAGUGACAAUAUACAGUGUGUGUGUUUGCAACUUUAUAUUUAUGCAGGGUAGAUUAGACUCACCUGAACAAGGUUGUCUAAACAUUGUAUUUGUGGAGUUUAGAUGCUCAUUAGAGCUUCCACAUAUGUUUAUGUUGUACAUUCAUACACGCCAUUUUAUGCUACUCCUUACUUUACCUCUCCCACAUUUUAAAG